UGCAAGCGCACUCUGUGUCACAUUGACGCCUUCAUGUGAUGACAAUUUGUAAGUUUGCUAUAACAAACUGAUGUUGUGAUUUAUCCAUGUGAUUAUGUACUCAAAAUGAUUGCAUUGUAUUAAGCAGCUCACAGCUGU